UACGUAGGAUCCGAGCGUUGUCCGGAUUUACUGGGUGUAAAGGGUGCGCAGGCGGGCUCAUAAGUCAGCAGUGAAAUCUCGGCGCUCAACGCCGAAACGUCUGUUGAUACUAUGAGCCUUGAAUGAGCGAGAGACGUGUGGAAUUCCGAGUGUAGCAGUGAAAUGUGUAGAUAUUCGGAAGAACACCAGCGGCGAAGGCAGCACGUUGGCGCUUUAUUGACGCUCAGGCACGAAAGCAUGGGGAUCAAACAGG
rnacentral:rRNA from 1 species